CGUCAAGAAGAGCUGCUCUCAUUACCUGUGUCACAGGCAAAUGAAAGCUUUGUUUGAUUACUUAAGUAAUCCAGGAGAACAUGUAACUCAUCAUUUUCAGGAAGGUGGUCAGUGAAGAGAAGAGGAAGAGAGUAGAAGCUUCUUUUAGGAUGGAGGAGAAGAAGACAGUUGGAGUGGGACAAGUCCCAUUUGAUGGUGUGUGGUCGCUACAGCAGGUAGGAGGGGCGCUUGACCAGAUGGGUGAGAGAGUGCAGAGCUUUGUGCAUAGCAGUGCAGACAAGUCGUGCAAUAGGGUGUGGUCAAAACGACCAAGAAACAGGAUUGCGUGUCAUGUGGGUGCUUCAGCUUGAGGAAUCUGGAAAUCCUAAAACAUCCUUCAAUUUUCCAGAGGACUUGAGAUGUCUGUCCUUUUUGAGAUGGACAGGUUCCCCUGAGAGCUGUCUCACGGUGGUCUACAAAGGGGGCACAGCAAGAUGGACUUGGGAGUUUCUGUAGCUCUGCCGGCCAAACUCCAGCCAGGGGGAAGCCCAUGGAAACUUGCUGGCAGUCCCAGCCUCUUAGAGUGAUCCCCUGGGAGCCUCCCAGACUUUUUAAAGGGCGAGUUUGAGGAGAAGAAAGACAUGUCGCUCCAAAUUAGGCCACCAGUUUCUCUGCUAGUUCACUGCAACACUUUGUACAUUUCCAGGUCAUCUCUUACAUACGCUGGAGAUGUGUGAUGGAGCUUGAUGCUAAUUAGCAGGCUAGAUCUGUGAUGUUUUUAUUAAGUUGGGUCACAAAGUGUUCAAUGCCUCUCUCUCUAGAAUGAUGAUGCACUCAUCAACCUGUCCUAAGUUCUGCGGCUUUAGCCAAAAUUCUUAAAGAAUAGGAAAAGUCCCACUUCACACCGUGUUCCAUCAGGCUUUAACUGGUCACUGUACUGCUUGGUACAACACUCUGUUCAUUUGUGUGAGUAAAUAGAAGUAAGAGUCAUUGAACUCAAGGAGAUAUAGCACUCUAUUGAGGCUUGAGUCUUAGCAGGUGGUACCUUGGCAGAGAAGUGAUUUCAUUCUUAGAACUUUUAAAGGAAGUUUCUGGGAGAGUCACCUCUUGGGUGGAGGUUGGGUUUGAUCUCAAGGACUUUGUGUUUGAGUUUAUAGGACUCUGCCUAAGCAAACAUAGAGCUGUCUAGCCUAAGUGGUGUUCUUUGAUGCACACUGGGACUUUCUUGAUCGGUUAUUAAAUGUAAUUCAUUGUUAUAAA
rnacentral:lncRNA from 1 species